UGAUUUCUGAUAUUUUGGCGCACCUA
rnacentral:piRNA from 1 species